rnacentral:tRNA from 1 species
GGGCUUGUAGCUCAGUGGAUUAGAGCGCGUUGCUACGAACUACGAAGUCAGGGGUUCGAGUCCCUUCUGGCCCA